rnacentral:rRNA from 1 species
UACGAAGGGGGCUAGCGUUGUUCGGAAUCACUGGGCGUAAAGGCGCGUAGGCGGCUUUAUAAGUCGGGGGUGAAAGCCUGUGGCUCAACCACAGAAUUGCCUUCGAUACUGUAGAGCUUGAGACCGGAAGAGGUAAGUGGAACUGCGAGUGUAGAGGUGAAAUUCGUAGAUAUUCGCAAGAACACCAGUGGCGAAGGCGGCUUACUGGUCCGGUUCUGACGCUGAGGUGCGAAAGCGUGGGGAGCAAACGGG